rnacentral:rRNA from 1 species
GAUCAUGGCUCAGGAUGAACGCUGGCGGCGUGCCUAAUACAUGCAAGUCGAACGCUUCACAUUUGUGAAGAGUGGCGAACGGGUGAGUAAUACAUAAGUAACCUGGCAUCUACAGGGGGAUAACUGAUGGAAACGUCGGCUAAGACCGCAUAGGUGUAGAGAUCGCAUGAACUCUAUAUGAAAAGUGCUACGGGACUGGUAGAUGAUGGACUUAUGGCGCAUUAG